CACUCCUUCCCAUUCCGAACAGGAAAGUUAAGCUCUACAGCGUCAAUGGUACUGCAUGGGUGACCGUGUGGGAGAGUAGAACGUUGCCAGGU
rnacentral:rRNA from 2 species